GAUGAACGCUGGCGGCGUGCCUAAUACAUGCAAGUCGAGCGAACAGACGAGGAGCUUGCUCCUCUGACGUUAGCGGCGGACGGGUGAGUAACACGUGGAUAACCUACCUAUAAGACUGGGAUAACUUCGGGAAACCGGAGCUAAUACCGGAUAAUAUAUUGAACCGCAUGGUUCAAUAGUGAAAGACGGUUUUGCUGUCACUUAUAGAUGGAUCCGCGCCGCAUUAGCUAGUUGGUAAGGUAACGGCUUACCAAGGCAACGAUGCGUAGCCGACCUGAGAGGGGGAUCGGCCACACUGGAACGGAGACACGGUCCAGGCUCCUACGGGAGGCAGCAGUAGGGAAUCUUCCGCAAUGGGCGAAAGCUUGACGGAGCAACGCCGCGUGAGUGAUGAAGGUCUUCGGAUCGUAAAACUCUGUUAUUAGGGAAGAACAAAUGUGUAAGGAACUAUGCACGUCUUGACGGUACCUAAUCAGAAAGCCACGGCUAACUACGUG
rnacentral:rRNA from 1 species